rnacentral:rRNA from 1 species
CAGGACGAACGCUGGCGGCGUGCUUAACACAUGCAAGUCGAGCGAACAAAGCUCCUUCGGGAGUGGAGUUAGCGGCGGACGGGUGAGUAACACGUGGGUAACCUGCCUUAUAGAGGGGGAUAGCCUUCCGAAAGGAAGAUUAAUACCGCAUAAGAAGUAGAAGUCGCAUGGCUUUAGCUUUAAAGGAGCAAUCCGCUAUGAGAUGGACCCGCGUCUGAUUAGCUAGUUGGUGGGGUAACGGCCUACCAAGGCGACGAUCAGUAGCCGGCCUGAGAGGGUGAACGGCCACAUUGGGACUGAGACACGGCCCAGACUCCUACGGGAGGCAGCAGUGAGGGAUAUUGCACAAUGGGCGCAAGCCUGAUGCAGCAACGCCGCGUGAGGGAUGACGGUUUUCGGAUUGUAAACCUCUGUCUUCAGUGAUGAUAAUGACAUUAGCUGAGGAGGAAGCCACGGCUAACUACGUG